rnacentral:lncRNA from 1 species
CCGAAGCUCAGUGAAGUCGGCCCGAGAUGGUGUAAAUCCCGUGCUGCCUCUGACUUUAAGAAGUCUGUCCUGGUGGUGGACAGAGGGCUCCCCAAUGGUGUCCUCCCACCCCUACGGCCACACCUGUUCCCACGGCCAAUGCGGUCGCUGCCUUACCCUGAAGCCCGCCACGGCGCAGUAGGACUUGCCUGGCCUCUCUUCUUUCCCACCCCCGUUCCAGUUCCCAUAUUGUGCCACUCUCACAGCUCGGGACGGGGGCUGAUCUGUAACUGCCCUUUUACAGAGCGAUCACAGAGGCUGGCAGACAGUCCCAGCACUUCCCCUCAGUGUCCUGGGAGCAAAGGAUCGAGAGGACUCUUGUGGAACAGAGAUGGUGGACCCGGAACCCCGAGAGAGGACCAACCACGUCAUUGAAAACACACCACGAGGCCAUGCCUGAUGAAAGGCUCCUCACUUUAUCGGUCCAACUCCAUCUCCUGAGAGAAACAGAAAUGUGCCUGCCAUUGUUGUCCUGUGAUCAUGAUGUAGUCUUUCUCUCUCCAAACAUAAAGAGGUUUAAAGCUGACACAGCAACCGAGCAGAGAGCACAGCCCACCCACGGCCUCUUCCUACAUUGGUCUACAUCACAAUGAAAUCUUUAGGGAGGUAAUCCUGCAUACAUCCCGACAGGCACUCACCAGAAAACAACCAUCCAGUGGGACUGGGGAUGGCAGCACCUCCCAUGGGCACAGCGCCCUGCCCCUGAGCAAGCAGAUGACUUCUUUCUCUUCAGCGAAGACCCCCAUGCAGCUGCAAUGGCAGAAAUGCCCAGUUCACUCAUUUUGAGCUUCUUUAAUGAACCUCGUUACAAGGACAGCAUCCCGGGGAACAGAAUUGUGCUGGAGAAGGGCAGAGAUGGAAACACCUUACAGAAGAUUAUCAUUAUUUGCUAUCCUGGGGCAUUUAUAAGCCUAGGCUGACCCCUGCUGACGUCAUUCGGAAGUGGAUGUCCGGGUACCAUGGGCUUCCACCGCCAGCUGCCCACCCACAUCUUCUCUUUGAUUUCCUCACCUGUGGGUUUGAAAAAAUAAACCUGGAAAGGAA